GAUGAACGCUGGCGGCGUGCUUAACACAUGCAAGUCGAACGGUGAAGGCGGAGCUUGCUCUGCUGGAUCAGUGGCGAACGGGUGAGUAACACGUGAGCAAUCUGCCCCUGACUCUGGGAUAAGCGCUGGAAACGGCGUCUAAUACUGGAUACGAGCUGCGAAGGCAUCUUCAGCAGCUGGAAAGAACUUCGGUCAGGGAUGAGCUCGCGGCCUAUCAGCUUGUUGGUGAGGUAACGGCUCACCAAGGCGUCGACGGGUAGCCGGCAUGAGAGGGUGACCGGCCACACUGGGACUGAGACACGGCCCAGACUCCUACGGGAGGCAGCAGUGGAGAGUAUUACACAGUGGGCGAAAGCCUGAUGCAGCAACGCCGCGUGAGGGACGACGGCCUUCGGGUUGUAAACCUCUUUUAGCAGGGAAGAAGCGAAAGUGACGGUACCUGCAGAAAAAGCGCCGGCUAACUACGUG
rnacentral:rRNA from 1 species